rnacentral:rRNA from 1 species
AGCUCCAAUAGCGUAUAUUAAAGUUGUUGCGGUAAAAAAGCUCGUAGUUGGAUUUCUGUUGAAGACGACCGGUCCAUACCACGUAUGCGCAUCUGGUUCGGCUUCGGCAUCCUCUCGAAAGACGUUUCUGCGCUUGAUUGCGUGGAGCGGAUCUCGGGACUUUUACUUUGAGGAAAUUAGAGUGUUCACGGCAGGCUAUCGCCAGAAUACAUUAGCAUGGAAUAAUACUAUAGGAUCUCGGUUCUAUUUUGUUGGUUUCUAGAAUUGAGAUAAUGAUUAAUAGGGACAAUUGGGGGCAUUCGUAUCAACACGUUAGAGGUGAAAUUCUUGGAUCGUGUUGCGACGAACUACUGCGAAAGCAUUUGCCAAGGAUGUUUUCA